rnacentral:misc_RNA from 1 species
GUUUUUAUAUAUAAUAAUAAUAAUAAUUAAAAAAAAGAAAAAAAAAUGUAUAACUUUUUUUUUUCUUUCACACAAAGUCUAAUUGGAAUUGUUGCAAAAAAUACCCCUCCCUUUCGGAAGAGAUUUUCCUUUUGUUAAUGAUCCUUCCGCAGGUUCACCUACGGAAA